AUAAAAGCAAGUAUGGUUCAUGAAAACCAACAUGAAUUGUGGUGCAUUGGUGGGAGCGUUUUACUCUUAAAUAGAGGUCUCGAUUCUCGAAUUCGAGCCCUAAUAUAAACAAAAUCCUGUUGAGAGCGCUAUCCCUGAAUGGGCUCUCCAGUGAACAAGUUGUAGAUAGCCCUAGCCUACACUUGACUUGCCUCAUUAAGCAACAUAUAUAACAGUUCCUAGCAUUCAACUUGAUUUCAAUAUUCACUUGUUCUGCAGCUUUCAAUUGAAGGUACUGCUAGAGACAUUUUAAAGGUGAGCAACGCCGAUUGAGUAGUACAAUUGAUGUGAUGUGUUCUCACUCUCACUAUCUUCUCAAGAAGAAGAUGAUGAAGAGGCAUUAAAAUGGGCUUCUAUAUAUAGUUAAACCUCCAACGUAUCUUCGUAUAAGGAGAGGUGUAUUAACUGAACAAGGACAGUCUAGAGAAGUUGAUAUAACUGAUCUUAGAAAGACUCGUCGAAAUUGCAGAGGAAGACAAUGACAAGUUCUUGUUAAAGCUCAAACAAUCAUAUUGAUAGAGUUGAUCUUGAUCUUCCAACAAUACAAGUAGGGAGCUUCGAUCAACUGAGUGUAGAUGAAGAAACUUGUGUUGGCAAUAGAGGCAAUGUGCUGAUCAUGCUGUUUACCUUUGGCUGGCAAACUAGAUGGAGU